rnacentral:rRNA from 1 species
CCUACGGGAGGCAACAGUGAGGAAUAUUGGUCAAUGGGCGUAAGCCUGAACCAGCCAAGUCGCGUGAGGGAUGAAGGUUCUAUGGAUCAUAAACCUCUUUUAUAAGGGAAUAAAGUGUGGGACGUGUCCUAUUUUGUAUGUACCUUAUGAAUAAGGAUCGGCUAACUCCGUGCCAGCAGCAGCGGUAAUACGGAGGAUCCGAGCGUUAUCCGGUUUUUUUGGGUUUAAAGGGUGCGUAGGCGGCCUUUUAAGUCAGCGGUGAAAGUCUGUGGCUCAACCAUAGAAUUGCCGUUGAUACUGGGGGGCUAGAGUAUGUUUGAGGCAGGCGGAAUGCGUGGUGAAGCGGUGAAAUGCUUAGAUAUCACGAAGAACCCCGAUUGCGAAGGCAGCCUGCCAAGCCAUGACUGACGCUGAUGGACGAAAGCGUGGGGAUCAAACAGGAUUAGAUACCCCAGUAGUC